CCGUGGUGGCGGAAGGUUGUCUUCCGAGCGGGCCGUUCUUCUCUCAUUGCCUCUAUCCAUCUCUCUACAUACUCCGCUGCUAGCCAAGCUUUCGAGGGCUGCUGCCACUAGAGAUUUGUGGGUUCCUGCCAACCUUGAUCCCCAUGGUCGCCACCAUCGUCGGCUCCGCUGGCCCAAAUCCCGCGCCCAGGUAUCGUCCCGGAUGCCCAAAUCAGAUGCGCUGCCGCCGGGAGCGGGCCGUCCUCCUCCGACAUCACCUGGAUUAGAGGAUCAGAGGAUAUGACAUAGUCCAGUUUAUUUUCAGGUACGUUGUUUCCUAUCAGUAUUAUUCCAUUGUAAAUGUCAUGGGUUCGAUAUAGUACCCGAGUGAUACAAUUUUGUGACUGACUGUGUUGUUGUUCCCCUACAAAUGGUUAUUAUUUUCACAUGCGAUCAUCUACUUACAUAAAUGAGAUAAAAUAAGUUGCUCUUAUGAACACGGCUUUGUUCAAAACUUGCAUGGACGCUGCAUUCUAUCCACAAACAUGCCAUGCUCCAACCACGAGUUUCUAUAUCGCAAGCCUUAAAAAUCUUCUCAACAUGUAUGUGUGCGGCAGCCAGCAAUCCAAGUCUGUGGACAUCAAUUUUAAGAAAAUCGGACGACCGCCGUCCUUGAUGCAGCCACCCACUGGAGGUACCGUAGCAGACUGGUGAUGCAAUACUUCGCAAUCCUAGACACAGUUUGAGUUUUUCGCUCGCCGAACUAAGACUGUAGCAGAAUGUAAUAUUUUUCAGGGAUUGUAUUAAUUCUCAUCCCCUUUUUAGUUAACAUUCCUGUCAAAACUGAAUUUAGUUUCAAGUUGAGAUGGAGGAAGAAACUGAAACAUUAACUCACAUAUUCUCUCAAAUGCUAAUUUCGCAAUCUCUAGAAGUAAGAAAAUCUCCUCCUUUAAAUAUCACUACAGAUUCUUAUUCUUUCAUUGCUACAGAAUUGUUUCAAUUUUACACCUUUAGUCCAAUUAUGAUUCACUUUUGUCUCUUCAUUAUCGUAGUUGUUCGAUACAAAGUUCAUGCCAUUGUUUUUGGAAGAUGUUACCUUGACGUCCCAAAUCAUAACUAUUACAGUAUUAACUGGAAUAGAACAGAAAAAAUGCAUGAUAUGGUGAUGGAAUACCAUGUUCAAUACUUCAAUCGAAGUCCAUCACCGUGCUAUGUUUAAGAGCUUUCUCCCUUGACUGGUCUUGCUUUAUCAACUAAAAUCAUCUACUUACAUUUCUGGAAGAUUGCUCUAAUAUUGUUAUUUUUCUUGCUAAUUGUUGUCUAAUAUUUCCUUUACUUAAUGUAGCAGAGGUUCAAUUACUUUGCAGAUUUAAUGGCACAACCAAAAUUGGUAUGCUUAUGUUCUUCACAUCAUGCACGUCUUUUUACACAUUGUUUCCUUUCUACUUUUCAAUUGCCAACACCGCGCUAUUGUCAUCGACUGAAGAUAAGAUGAAGAAAAGAAAUGGGUACGAUCGAUGCGGAUGACUAAGAAUCAUUACCACCUACCAAGUUAAUCACCGAUGCCUAUUUGAUUUGUCGUACAUAUUUGCUCUUUUUGUGAGACGUUUUGUAUGAACAGAUGAUUUCGUGUGUAUUGUUCAAUCUAAUGAAAUGGGUUUAAUUUAGCCGUGAGACAAGCCAGUUAACAAGUAUCUUCACAUUCAUUUA